ACGAGAAAACUGCCUUUAUUUAUUUUAUUUGAACCGGACGUUUUUGUAGGUCAACAACCUGGUCAGGUAAUGCGCCACUUGUAGCAAACACGGGUCACUGGUGUGUAGACUGGACCAUCAUCAUGACGUUGGAACAGUACUCAGACGUGAUUUUAGAGAUAGCAAAACAAGGCCUGUCAUCGAAAAUUAUAUCUGAGUGUCUGUCAUAUCAACACGGAGAAGCGAGGGGGUUUUCUGCGAGAAAUGUCAGAAAGUUUUCUGCUGAGCAAAUCUCAGGCUGUCGACUCUCUGACACACAUUUGGAAACAGAGGUGGCAAAAGCUAUAAAUGAGGGAGCUCGGAAUCUUAAUCCCACACCAUACCAUGCUGAAUACAUCAUGGGGCACAAGCUUCACCUGGACCAAAAUGAAAAACUUGUGAUGUUUGGGGUCACCCAUGUUUUAGCUAUAGAUGGGUUCAGCAAAAAGAUUGUGAGUCACUCCACAAUGCCUGAUCAAAAACAACUUGACCAUCUAUGAAGAUGUUUUCAGGCCUGCAGUGAUUACCUGUGGUAUGUGGGACCAGGUGUGAGUGGACCAAGGAAAGGAAUUUUAUUUGACACUUUUCAUGCAGGAGAUGCUGUCACAUCGCUUCAAUCAGGAGAGACCACCAUAUUUACAGACUUCAUCCACAAGAAACCACACAUAUCAGGCUUUGGCCUGAGAUCAACAACCGUGUCAACUAUCCACUGAAAAUGGCCCUACUCCAGCUGAUGGACCAG